CUUAUUUUGGGCCGGCUUUCAGUUGGUUGUCGUUUGAUCUUCAUGUCAACCCUAUGCAUUACGGAGCUGACGGCUGGGGUCUGAUUGACACAAUGAGUUGUCAUCGCCGUCGUGCAGGGCCUACCCCUGUGAAAACACAGCUCUCCGCGGGGGGUCGCCAGCUUUCGGACAGGACUACUUAACGGCCUUCAUAUAAUUAUUAACAAACCACCGUGUGGCUACAGCUCCAUAAAUGUCAACUCCGAAAGUGGAGUUGAUGCAUUGUGGACUGGACUCUCAUCUCCGUGAACUACAUGGUUUGAAACAACAUUAACAUGUGUCUGAGAGCGACUCGUGACAGGCUGUUUAGGGGGGU
rnacentral:lncRNA from 1 species